ACCAAAAAGAAAUGGCUAACAGAACUAGAAUUGAAUCAUUUCAGAUGGGAGUCUCCAUCAGAGAUUUGGGGAACUAUAAGAGCAUAAUAUAUUGGAUUCUGAGGAAUGAAGAGGUCAGAGAAGACAUAGUUUUGGUGCAAAAAUCAAGAUACAAGUUAUGAGUGUUGUGGUGGUGUUUCUUUCUGCUCAAUGAAUGUCUCAGAACCUAAACAUUUUCUUCAUCUAGAUACUACUUUGGUUGUUGGAAGGAAAAAGAAAACAGAGAAAGAAUUGUGAUUCUUCAGUUUGUUCUCCAGAAAGAAGCCAAAGUGAUGCUGCUAAAACAUAAUCCAACCAUGUAACUCUUCAGCUUACCUCAGUAUCCCUGUUCUUUGUCUACUUGAAAUCUGAAAUCUGACUAAAAGACAUUAUAAGAUUUUGCUAUAUUGUCUAUCAUAUGAAAAGAA